rnacentral:tRNA from 1 species
GCUGGUGAACCGGUACGGCGCCGGAAGUGUCUGCAAAACACUCAUAAGUGGGUUCGACUCCCACCAUCAGCU